rnacentral:lncRNA from 1 species
GAGUAGCUGGGAGUACAGAUGCACACCACCACACCCAGCCUAGAAUGAAGAAACCUGCAGUUGGGAAGCAUGAAUUUACCACCUAUUAAGAAUUGUGGCUUGCAUUGUAAGAGGAGCCUGUGAAUUCAGAGGCAAGUCUGCUGAGGACCGAAUGUUCCUGUCCAUAAAAACAGAAGUCUGGCCUGGGCUCCUCUCUUGGGUGAAUUUGCAAUGCCAGAUCCUCUCUAUCAGUUUGGUUUUGUUUCUUGUAUCUCUGGGAAGGCAGGCAGACAGCACGGUCACCUGUGAAUGCAGCUACAAUUGGCUUAGCUGCCUCACUGAUAAAUGUGCCCCCAGUAAGCUACAAAGGGAUUACCAGCGUUCUCAGCAGCUAAAGGAACUGGUGAAGAUUUCCCCAGCAAAAAGUAGAAGCUCAGUGUUUCAUAGAUGAAGACUGGGGAGAUUGCAAAAGACCCAUCCAGGAUUCUUACUUUGAGUAGCCAACUUGCAGAAUACAAUAGAAUUUUGGGAGGAGCCCCUCGAUGCCUGGCUUUACUGUUGGAGAGACAGUACAGUAUACACCAGAUGACUUAUUUGUGAACCAUGGAAACGUUUGGAAAAGAGUCUCACUUUGUCGCCCAGGCUGGAGUACAGUGGUGCGAUCUUGGCUCUCUGCAACCUCUGCCUCCCAGGUUCAAGUAAUUCUCCUGCCUCAGCCUCCCGAGUAGCUGGUACUACAGGCACACAUUUGUAGAGAUGGUGUUUCCCCAUGUCAUCCAGGCUGGUCUGGAACUCCUGGGAUCAAGUAAUCCACCCGCCUCGGCCUCCCAAAGUGCUGGGAUUACAGACGUGAGCCACCACGCCCUGCCAAUAAAAAGAUUAUCUCCAGAUGCUGGAAUGACCAGUAAUUUAUUUUCUUCCUUUUUUUUUGUCUGCACUUUCUACCAUAAUCAUAUGUUAGCUUCUUACUAAGAAGAAAAGUCAAUGUUAUUUCCCUGAAAAAGUAAUGUUGUUUGGUUAUUAAACAAAUUUAAUUUUCUAAACAAGAGUACGACAGGUAAACUGCCUACCUUAAAAGCAAACGAACACAAAUAAAUAAA